UUUAAACACACAAGUUCUUUUUUUUUCCUUCUUUUUUAAUUCUCUCAUAAUAUACAAGUAUUGCACAGCCGCAAAAUUCUUUUUUUUGAGAAAAAGGUAGCAAGCUACCUGCUUCAUUCAUUAGGUGAAAUGAACUAAGCGUACAAUAUGGAGACAGCCAGGGCCUCCCAGAGAACAGUCGAAAAGUAGAAAACAAAACAAAAGAGAAAAAAAGGGGGGUGUAAGUAAGAAGAGGAGGGAUUGGGGCUGAAGCCCAAUCGUCACUUCACCGCAAAGAGUUCCAGUCGUUUAGCAAAAGUUUGACACGUUCUAGAGAUCGGGUAGCAUUCUGCGUGGUUCCGCGAAAAAUGACGUUGUUUCUGUCUGUCCAGAUCACCCACCAAGUCGCGG
rnacentral:lncRNA from 1 species